UGUGUUGUGGAAGUGUGAAGACGUGUGUGCUGUGCUGCCUCGCGUGUACUGCUGUGUGUUGUUCUAUGUGUGUGUGUGUGUGUGUGCGUGUGUGUGUGUGACUCUGGAAACACUGGCCAUGCGCUGGAGUACAGAAGACGUGGGUAGUGUUGUGUUGUGUUAGCUAAGGCGGGAACACAGUAGGAGUCAAGGGACAGCCUGUGGGAGUGUUUGCUUCCGUGCAUCGACCAGGAGGAGUUAAAAUCCCCGAACUUCCUGGAUGUUCACAGUAUUCCUUCAGUUCACGCUGCGGAAAAAUGCAACUUGAAGCCCACCACCUGAAGGCCGCUGAACGCCCUGACCAGAGCGGCAGUUGUGUGAAGUACUGCCGCCCCGCCGCCGCUGUCUGGGAGUGUGCUGCCUUUUGGAUCAAAGUAAGCCGAGGGUCAUUAUCCACUCAUCUACCUGUACAUUAGCGGCGCCAGACAAGCCGAUCAAGAUAUAUAGUUUGGAAGGCCGCCAGCCAGCGCCCACCAGCGGCCCCAGUGCCCCUUGUGCCUUCACUUGCGGCGUCCCCUCUCCCCUAUCCUCCUCAAAGUCCUUCAGCAUGUCAGUGCCGCCGAAGUCCCGAGUGGCUUCGAGACAAGGAAGAGAAGCCACGCGACUCACUUCAGCCAGUCAGUCAGUGGUCAGUGGCGUCAGCUUCGUUGUGGUGUACGUGUGAGUCUUCUGUGUUUUCUUGGACGCUUAUUUGGGCUCUAGGUGAACCAAGAUUCUCCCAAAGCUUGUCCACAGUGGUCAGCAGCUGUGACACAAGGAGCAGCUGUCUCAGCGGAGAGACGGUGGACGGCGGAUGAAUACUUCGGCUCCCGCGCCUUCUUCCGCAUCAUGUCCGACCCGCCGAUCCUGGUGGUGGGCGGCGUGCGUCAGAGGAGUUGAAAAAUGUGAGAGAAGACACAGUAUGUUGAGGGAAGGCAGCUGCACUAGUGACAGCAGCAGCAGAGCCCCACCACUGCUGCUGCUCCUCUCCUCUUCCCAGCACAGCAGCACACAGGACACAUUUCCAUCAUCUUUAAAUCCCGGACACUUGUGCCUUGGUGAUAAUCUCACAGCAGCAAACCCUACAUUGCUCAGGUCAACUUCCAGCUAGAAUCAUAAUAUCUGGAGUUAUUUUUCCACAAAGAAGGAUUCAAAAUAUCCCCCCCAAAAAAUAAGAUAUUUUUAGAAAUGAAAAUCCACUCGAAUUUUCUGCCUGAAGCUCUCGUUAAAAUGACUCCCUCUUGAAUCUUGUGUCCGACUCCAACUGUGUCCAAGAGAAUGGAUCUCCAGUUUGUAGUGAGACUUCCGAGCCGCCCAGACCUGUGAAGGCGAGCAGUCUGUCAGAUAAUGAGAGUAGACAACAUAAGCAACAUAAUGAGAGACAAAGUCACAAUAAUAGAGAUAAAAUGAAGGCACUCAAGUAUUAAUGAGAAAACAAAACAGAAUAAUAAGCAAAGUAAAAUAAUGAGACAAUAAGGCCAGUCAACAAAUAAUAGUGAAUUUAUUGUAGGAAGGGUCUGCUGUACUACUUAAUGACCAUUCAAGUCUACUUGUUAAAGAUGUGUUUACACUUUGAAGUGUCAUUUUCUUGUACUAUGAUACAUUUUUAACUAUUUUCUUCCACCUGCCUUAAUUAACAUUGAGUAGAGUCUCACUAAUACAACUUGAAUAUUACUCAGCCGGCAGUCUUUGCCAUGGUGGAGUGUGACACUGAAUCAGUACUGACAUUUUAUCAUUUACAUUUCAUUACUUUGAUUACUCAACAAAAUACUGCAUUGUUUUUUGUAACCUGCUGACUGGUGAAAGGACAACGUGUGCUCCUCAACACUUGGUUCUUGCCACGUGCCGCAGCAGACUGACAGCUUCCAGUGGGCCUGUCUGAGGGGCGUGACCUCCGCCGCAUUGCUUCAGCAGCCUUCAAGUCCCGGCAAUGAAACGGUUCGUGUGAGGAAGACUGCUUCUGGUGCUACAGGUGGAAAUUGUUACUAGUGUCGUGGUGGCAGCACGGGCCUCGGCACUCCCUGGCACCACGGCAGGUGUCAGUGAGGCAGGCAGGUGUUGGUUCAAGUCCUGGCAGUGUCACUUCGCUGCUGUAUUGUUUGGUGCAGCGGAUGAUGCUACGUUUUUCAUCACUUAGUGUAGAGUCUAUUUUUGCUUGACGUUAUUUGUGUUGGUAAGGCAUUUCCACUAUAUAGUGGUAGAUAUUCUGGGAAAUAAGGAAUUAGCAAUACUAAGACAUGCUUGAACAACACUCACCAGUGUGGAAGACUUGUCAGGCAGUGGCUGUAGUGGCUUCACUUGAACCACGACAAUGUUCUCCUCAACCCUUGGAAAGAGAACAAUUCAUCUGAAAUGGAGAUACAAAGAUAUUGGGGAAAAUUUAAGAGAGAGACGCUGCAAAGUGUAGCUGACAGUGUGCGUGUCGUCAUCAAGAGGAGGGGCUCUAAAAUGAAACAGUAGGACACUCGUGAAGACAUUCAUACUAUCUUUUCUCAAGGGAAGUGUGUGUCGUGUGUGUUAACAACGUCAGGCGCGGACAUUUUUUGCAUCAAGGGUGAUGUACGAUCCGGACAUGAAAAAAGUUUUUUUUCUUUUAUAAUUUUCUAAUUUUUUUCCGCUUCUUUUGAUAUACGAGUAUGUAACGUUUUGAUAAGAACUAAAAAAAUCCCCUUAUGUAAAGAGGUCUUCUGUUAUGAAAUUCCCACGGUUUCGCCCGCUGCGAGACAUGUCACACAAGUUUUUUUUACAUUUUUUUUUCUCUUUUCAUAUAUUUUUCUGACAUACCCGUUCUUCUUCACUCUCCCAUAAAUAUCUACGGUUCUCUUGCUGCAUACAAUAUUAGAAAGCACGAAAUUCUAGGUCUAACUAUUUUCUCAAAUUGAUAUACGAAAAAAAAAUCAUAUAAUUAUUUUUUUUUUCGUAAAUCUAGCAAAUAGUUAAUGUAUCUGCAUUAGAUAUCUUUUGCAUUAAUAUUUUAUUUAUUUUCAAACAAUUAAACACUGGUUUUUACUUAGAAAUAUGGCGAAAUAUAACAAAAAUUGUUUUCACCCGCCUUCUCCCCUCCCACCCGGUAAUUAAGGGUGAAAUCAUGAAUAGCUUUAGGCCUUAUACACAAAACCAAUCGGAGUAACUAAAACUAUGUCUGCUUUUUCAACAUAUUCUGAUGUAUAUAUCGCGUGAAUUUCAAGUCCCUGGCUGCAAUAGGUGAAUUAGUCACCCCUUAAACUUUAUGACAUAAUAUCUCAAAAUGGCGGAUUUUAGCAUAUAAAAAUGAUCUGCUCCGUUUUUAUUGGUGUUACAGACAGAUGGGCUAUUGCGGCUUAUCAAACUGUGAUAGGCGAAUAAAGUCUGCUGUCGUCAUUUUUGUUUGGAGUUGAUUUUGAUUUUUGACAAAUAUUUCAGUUUUUUUUUUACUUUUCAUCGAAAAAAAAUCGUACAAUAAAAGAAAAAAGAUAGCAGACUUUGUUCUCCUAUCCUUCCUGAUCAAAAUACUUUUUAAAUAAAUGAGGGAGGAGAUACGAGUUGAACACAGGCAAUUUAACAAGGGAUUAGCGAUCCUUCAACCACCCUCAAGUGUAUGAAUAAAGGUGAUUAGUUACUUUGAUGUGGAAAGACUGUAAUUUGUAAAGAUGAGAAUAAAUGAGAAUAAAUUAUU